CGACUUGCUGCGGACUAAUCCAAUGGAUGUGCGCAUCAAGCCCACCAGCCGUUAGGAUGCGCCCUUCACCGGCAAUCACUUCGGUGCCAGGACCAAUGAUAAUAUCAACAUCGGAUUGAAUGUCCGGAUUACCGGCCUUGCCGACGGCUAUAAUCCGACCGUCUUUGAGGCCGACGUCGGCUUUAACAAUGCUGGUAUAAUCGACGAUCAGCGCGUUAGUAAUGACCGUGUCAACCGCGCCCGUUUCACGGGUGACUUGAGACUGCCCCAUGCCAUCCCG
rnacentral:sRNA from 1 species